rnacentral:rRNA from 1 species
AACGAACGCUGGCGGCGUGCCUAACACAUGCAAGUCGAACGAGAAAGGGGCUUCGGCUCCGAGUAAAGUGGCGCACGGGUGAGUAACACGUGGGUAACCUGCCUCUAAGAUUGGGAUAACUCGUCGAAAGAUGAGCUAAUACCGAAUAAGACCACAGUUCCCGCGGGAACAGGGGUCAAAGGUAGCCUCUGCUUGCAAGCUAUCACUUAGAGAUGGGCCUGCGCACCCUUAGCUAGUUGGUAGGGUAACGGCCUACCAAGGCAAAGAUGGUUAGCUGGUCUGAGACGAUGAUCAGCCCCACUGGAACUGAGACACGGUCCAGACUCCUACGGGAGGCAGCAGUGGGGAAUAUUGCGCAAUGGGCGAAAGCUUGACGCAGCAACGCCGCGUGAGUGAUGAAGGCCUUCGUGUCGUAAAGCUCUGUCGGGAGGAACGAAUGCUCCUGAGGUUAACAGCCUCGGGAGGUGACGGUACCUUCAAAGGAAGCACCGGCUAACUCUGUG